GCCUAGUUACCUCAGUCGUAGAGCACGAGACUCUUAAUCUUGGGGUUAUGGGUUCAAGCCCCACGUUGGGCG